rnacentral:rRNA from 1 species
CCUACGGGAGGCAGCAGUGGGGAAUUUUGCGCAAUGGGGGAAACCCUGACGCAGCAACGCCGCGUGAGUGAUGAAGGCCUUCGGGUCGUAAAGCUCUGUCAGAGGGGAAGAAAUGGAAUCGGCUAAUACCCGGUUUUCUUGACGGUACCCUCAAAGGAAGCACCGGCUAACUCCGUGCCAGCAGCCGCGGUAAU